rnacentral:lncRNA from 1 species
AGAUUGAUUUCUGAAAGCUCUUCAAAAGGAAACGAAGGGGGAUCGAAGGAUACGCAUCUUUGCUGACUGGCUAAUUAUGUUGGCUGCAGAUAACAUAGUAUCCAAGAUGAAAAGAGUGAGGUCCUUCUGGACUUUCGCUUGAUUGGGUCGAGUUGGGUCCAGUUAUGUGUUUAUGGUGAUUGAUGUGUUUUGUUCUAGACAAUUGUGAUGACUCGAUAUGGGUGGUAGACCGGUAAAAGGGUUUAUUUGAAAAGGAAAAGAAAUUAAAAUACUUCUUUCG